AGCCCUAUAGCUUAGCGGCCAAAAGUAUCGGACCUUGACUCCGGUGACCCAGGUUCGAAUCCUGGUAGGGCUA
rnacentral:tRNA from 1 species